UACGUAGGGUGCAAGCGUUGUCCGGAAUUACUGGGCGUAAAGAGUUCGUAGGCGGUUUGUCGCGUCGUUUGUGAAAACUCACAGCUCAACUGUGAGCCUGCAGGCGAUACGGGCAGACUUGAGUACUGCAGGGGAGACUGGAAUUCCUGGUGUAGCGGUGAAAUGCGCAGAUAUCAGGAGGAACACCGGUGGCGAAGGCGAGUCUCUGGGCAGUAACUGACGCUGAGGAACGAAAGCGUGGGUAGCAAACAGG
rnacentral:rRNA from 1 species